ACCUUUCUGACCUUUGAGAAAGGCUGGAAAUCCCCAGUAGAAUGAAGCCUCUGAUACCACCGGUUCCUCCCUCCCCCACUUCAGGAAUGGAGAGUUAGAGACAGGACUUGGUGAAUUGGGGGCCCCAUGAUCAUAAAAGAAUAGACUGUGUAGUUGUGAUGAAUCUAAAAAUGGGAGGCUAUGACUGGUGGACAGAUCUGUAACCCCAGACGCUCAGCAGGCUGAGGCAUGAAGGAUUCCAAGUUCAACAAAGGCCAGCCUGGAAGACUCAGUGAGAUUGUCUUAAAAAUAAAAA